CUGCCGGCCAGGGCUGCCCGCACGCGCGCCUUACUAGCAGUGGUUGCGAGAUCGGAGAAGGGGAAGGAGAAAUGAGGCCGGCGACGGAAGGAUAAGUGUAGUCACAGGCUCGGCUUCACGUGAAGGGCAAGGCGGUGUACAUGUUCGCUGAAGGCUAGCCUCAGGAUUCAGUCAGGCGUUAGGAAGGACAAUCGCGGGAUACUAACGAGAGGUCCUCAGAGCAAAGUUGAAGGCGAGCCGCUAUCAUCUGCUGUUCUCUGCCGCAGAGAGGACUGGAGGCUCACAGCUGGAGGAAUUUGCCUUGGGAUGAAUCAUGCCUUGAGUCUCACCUAUAUCUGAUUUAGAUGAGACUUUGGACUUCAGGCUUUUGAGUUGAUGCUGGAUUGAGUUAAGACUUUUGGGACUAUUGGGAUGGAAUGAAUACAUUUUGCAAGUGAGAAGGACAUAAAUUUGGCUGGGGGGCAGGGGGAGAAUUUUAUGCUUUGAAUGUGUCCCCCCCAAAUUCAUAUGUUGGAAACUUGGCUGCCAUUGUGGCAGUACUGAAAGGUGGGGCCUUUGGGAGGCAAUUGGGUCACAAGGACAGAGCCUUCAUGAAUGGAUUGAUGUUGUUACUACAGGAGUGGACUCCUGAUAAAAGGAUAAGUUUGGCUGCCAUUGUCUGUCUGUUUCAUGUACUAACUUCUGCCUUUCACUUUUCCAUCAUGGGAUGAACUUCACCAGAUGACGGUGCCAUGCUCUUGGACUUACCAACCUCCAGAACUGUGAGCUGAAUAAACGUCUUUUCUUUAAACAUUA
rnacentral:lncRNA from 1 species